rnacentral:rRNA from 1 species
GAGAUUUGAUCCUGGCUCAGAACGAACGCUGGCGGCAUGCCUAAUACAUGCAAGUCGAACGAGACCUUCGGGUCUAGUGGCGCACGGGUGCGUAACGCGUGGGAAUCUGCCCUUGGGUUCGGAAUAACUUCGGGAAACUGAAGCUAAUACCGGAUGAUGACGAAAGUCCAAAGAUUUAUCGCCCAGGGAUGAGCCCGCGUAGGAUUAGCUAGUUGGUGGGGUAAAGGCUCACCAAGGCAACGAUCCUUAGCUGGUCUGAGAGGAUGAUCAGCCACACUGGGACUGAGACACGGCCCAGACUCCUACGGGAGGCAGCAGUAGGGAAUAUUGGACAAUGGGCGAAAGCCUGAUCCAGCAAUGCCGCGUGAGUGAUGAAGGCCUUAGGGUUGUAAAGCUCUUUUACCCGAGAUGAUAAUGACAGUAUCGGGGAG